rnacentral:rRNA from 1 species
UACGGAGGGUGCAAGCGUUAUCCGGAUUCACUGGGUUUAAAGGGUGCGUAGGCGGGCAGGUAAGUCAGUGGUGAAAUCCCCGAGCUUAACUCGGAAACUGCCGUUGAUACUACUUGUCUUGAAUAUUGUGGAGGUAAGCGGAAUAUGUCAUGUAGCGGUGAAAUGCUUAGAUAUGACAUAGAACACCAAUCGCGAAGGCAGCUUACUACAGAAUGAGUGGCGCUGAGGCACGAAAGCGUGGGGAUCAAACAGG